GUGUUGAGUAAACAACCAACAAAAAAAAGACAAAACCCUGGAAUGACGAGAAACCUCAAGUUAAUGAAUUAAAACAACAAGAGUGAUGUCAACUUAAGGGAUUUGCCAAGGCAUAAAUAUGACGUUUAUACAAGUCACAAGAAUUACAAUGGCGAUUUUUCCUCACGUUUAGAUGUUUGAAUCCAAUAACUAAUUCCACAAAUUAAAUAUUCGCGGCCUUUGAGGGCAAGCUUCAUUCAGAAAAUUGAUUUUAUCUUGAUUUUUAAAUUUUGUUAAAUUUAAUUGACAAUGGAUAUUUGUUGGUAAUAAAAUUUAAACAUAUACAGGGUGAGAUGAAAAAACUGCAACCCACUUCAGACUGCUGUUGUUUCCAAGCCACUCGUCCGACAGCGGUUAAAAUUAUUUCAGUGACAUCUAAUUAUAUUUGUUUACAAGCGUACAAAAGCAUUUUGGUGAACAUUUUUCAGAAAAAAAGUUAUUCGUGAUGGAAUUCAAGCGUGAUAUUGUGUUUUCUUUAUAUUUGGCUAGAAAACAACAAGUGGCUAAAGUUAGAGCACUUUCAACGUUAAUAAAUCUUUUGUGUCUCGUACCAUCGCUCGUUACCGUGAUGCUGGUAGCGUAGCCCGACGUCAAGGAAGUGGACGGAAGAAAACAGCAACAUCAGCAGAAAUGGUUCGAAAAGUAAAGAAGCGACUUAAUCGAAACCCGCG